rnacentral:rRNA from 1 species
GCGGUGAGCAUGUGGUUUAAUUCGACGCAACGCGCAGAACCUUACCUGGGUUUGACAUCUCGGGAAUCUUGUGGAAACACGAGAGUGCCCUUCGGGAGCCCGAAGACAGGUGCUGCAUGGCUGUCGUCAGCUCGUGUCGUUGAGAUGUUGGGUUAAGUCCCGCAACCGAGCGCAACCCCUAUCUCUAGUUGCCAGGCGAUUCGGUCGGGGACUCUAGAGAUACUGCCCGGUUAACGGGAGGAAGGUGGGGAUGACGUCAAGUCCUCAUGGCCCUUAUGCCCAGGGCUACACACGUGCUACAAUGGGCGGUACAAAGGGUAGCGAUGCCGCGAGGUGAAGCCAAUCCCAAAAAGCCGUCCACAGUUCGGAUUGGAGUCUGCAACUCGACUCCAUGAAGUUGGAAUCGCUAGUAAUCGUGGAUCAGCAUGCCACGGUGAAUACGUUCCCGGGCCCUU